AUGUUUCAAUGAUGUUAGUGACCAAAACAAAGAUGCAAGCACAUUCGCCUGGCGUCUGCGGUGAUCAGUGAGGACUUCACAGCCCUCCAUUUGAUAUUUACCAUGAUACCCAUGUAGCGACUACGUGUUGUGCGUUGAUGCAUGUUGUCCUUACAUUCACCACCUGUCAGCAGAAGUCACAACUUUGAGUGUUGCUUUGAGUUCCCGCUAGCUUUCUCAUUUCUGCCACAAGGAGCUAGCGAAAGCGGGGAAUUUCCAUUCUGAGCCCUAUUAGCUGCUGGCUAUGGAGCACUGACGAGCGAGUCCGGAGGCGCGUGUGCGUGCUGCUUGCGCAUGGGCACGGUGGAGACGUCCGAGUUCAGGUUAGUCCCUCGCCAGCUACCCCUGCCCGUCUCGAGGAAGUGGGUCAUGGGCUGCAGAGUUACAUGGAGCGCUAGUCGAAGCAAGAGAGCACAUUGCGGCCGGAGCACAUGGCUUCGCACUAUUACUCAGCUGGCACCGUCACAACACAUCACAUCUGCAUCCUGGCAUUUGCAUGGGGCCACACCUGCUUGGACCGUUCUGUCCCACAUCCCAAAAUCGCGGUCAGUACAAACAAUUACAUACCGACGCCGCCCGUGCCUCAAUACCCGUGCCCAGGGCCGUACCCGCCAUAGUAUCCAUGGCUGUACUGUCCAUAGCUUCCGUAACCUCCAUAGCCGUGGCCAUAGCCAUAGUCCCCGUAGCCGUGGCCAUAGCCAUAACCUCCAUAGCCGUGGCCAUAGCCGUAACCUCCAUAGCCGUGGCCAUAGCCGUAACCUCCAUAGCCGUGGCCAUAGCCGUAGCCCCCGUAGCCAUGGCCAUAGCCGCAGUCUCCAUAGCGGUGGCCAUACCCGUAACCUCCAUGGCGGUGGCCAUAGCCGUAACCUCCAUAGCCGCAACCUCCAUAGCCGUGGCCAUAGCCGUAGUCCCCGUACCCGUACGAUGGCGAUGGUGGGUAGGGUGGCGGCUGCGGCAGGGAUGGUCCCGGUGACGGCGGGCGUGGUGGGCGGGGAGAAGGAGGAUGUGGCGAAGGUGGCGGCUGCGGCGGGAGUGGUCCCGGUGACGGCGGGUAUGGUGGGCGGGGAGAAGGAGGAUGCGGCGAAGGUGGUGGCUGUAGCGGAAAUGGUCCCGGUGACGGCGGGUAUGGUGGGCGGGGAGAAGGAGGAUGCGGCGAAGGCAGCGGCUGCGGCGGGAAUGGUCCCGGUGACGGCGGGUAUGGUGGGCGGGGAGAAGGAGGAUGCGGCGACGGCAACGGCUGCGGCGGGAAUGGUCCCGGUGACGGCGGGCGUGGUGGGCGGGGAGAAGGGGGAUGCGGCGACGGCAACGGCUGCGGCGGGAAUGGUCCCGGUGACGGCGGGCUUGGUGAAGAAGGGUUUGGCGAUGGAGGGGUACCUGACGGCCAAGGAAACCACAUGGGGCGGAUAGUUGGAUGUGAUGUACGCUGUGAUGCGAGCUGCACAGUCGCAGUUCCCGAACUUGCUUGCGCCAGGCAAACCUGAGCCCACCCCGCGCUACCCGCGUACUGCUGUUUGGUUGCAGCCCUACAUACGCGCACCUGAGCCACU
rnacentral:lncRNA from 1 species